AUUGAACGCUGGCGGCAUGCCUUACACAUGCAAGUCGAACGGCAGCACGGGAGCAAUCCUGGUGGCGAGUGGCGAACGGGUGAGUAAUACAUCGGAACGUGCCCAAUCGUGGGGGAUAACGUAGCGAAAGCUACGCUAAUACCGCAUACGAUCUACGGAUGAAAGCGGGGGAUCGCAAGACCUCGCCCGAAUGGAGCGGCCGGUGGCAGAUUAGGUAGUUGGUGAGGUAAAGGCUCACCAAGCCUGCGAUCUGUAGCUGGUCUGAGAGGACGACCAGCCACACUGGGACUGAGACACGGCCCAGACUCCUACGGGAGGCAGCAGUGGGGAAUUUUGGACAACGGGCGCAAGCCUGAUCCAGCAAUGCCGCGUGCAGGAUGAAGGCCUUCGGGUUGUAAACUGCUUUUGUACGGAACGAAACGGUCCUUUCUAAUACAAGGGGCUAAUGACGGUACCGUAAGAAUAAGCACCGGCUAACUACGUGCCAGCCGCCGCAGUAA
rnacentral:rRNA from 1 species